rnacentral:rRNA from 1 species
AUUGAACGCUGGCGGCAGGCCUAACACAUGCAAGUCGAACGAGUGGCGGACGGGUGAGUAAUGUCUGGGAAACUGCCUGAUGGAGGGGGAUAACUACUGGAAACGGUAGCUAAUACCGCAUACCAUCGGAUGUGCCCAGAUGGGAUUAGCUAGUAGGUGGGGUAAAGGCUCACCUAGGCGAAGAUCCCUAGCUGGUCUGAGAGGAUGACCAGCAACACUGGAACUGGGACCAGGUCCAGACCCCUCGGGGGGGCAGCAGGGGGAAAUAUGGAACAAGGGGCGCAAGCCUGAGGCAGCCAUGCCUGGUGUAUGAAGAAGGCCUGGGGGUUGUAAAGUACUUUCAGCGGGGAGGCGUUACCCGCAGAAGAAGCACCGGCUAACUCCGUGCCAGCAGCCGCGGUAAUUC